rnacentral:tRNA from 1 species
GGGCCCAUAGCUCAGUUGGUCAGAGCAGUCGACUCAUAAUCGAUUGGUCGUAGGUUCAAGUCCUACUGGGCCCA